AAAACUAUACUUUCAGGGAUCAUUUCUAGAGUUAGUUAUAGAGAAAUUUCCAUGAUCGUGUAGAGCAUCCCAAAUCACGAGGAGGAGCUGGAGCUGUUCUCCUGGGAGUGACACCAGUUCUAGCUGUUGCCCUUGCCACAGCCUUUUUAUUACUGAGGAUGGUUCUUCUCUUCCCCUGGAAAAGUGGGAGGGAAAGGAUGCAGUCUGAGUGU
rnacentral:snoRNA from 1 species